GCUUAACACAGCACCACUACCUAAGGAAACCUGGAGAAAGUCGAAGAUAUGGUCCCUGGCAUUCAGAUGCUUAGUUUCUGUUGGGGAGAAAAGACUACACAGGCAAGGCUUCCAAGGAUGGAGAAAAGGAUCUGGCUUGGCAGAGGGCUCCGUGCAGAGGGGACCAUGUGAGCAUGAUUCCUGUGGGGAGGUGGCUGCUGAGAAUGCAGGGUGUGUUCCAGGA
rnacentral:lncRNA from 1 species